rnacentral:rRNA from 1 species
UUCCGCGGUAGCAGUGAAAUGCGUAGAUAUGCGGAGGAACCCCGAUGGCGAAGGCAGCCUCCUGGGAUAACACUGACGCUCAUGCACGAAAGCGUGGGGAGCAAACAGGAUUAGAUACCNUGGUAGUCCACGCCCUAAACGAUGUCAACUAGCUGUUGGGGCCUUCGGGCCUUGGUAGCGCAGCUAACGCGUGAAGUUGACCGCCUGGGGAGUACGGUCGCAAGAUUAAAACUCAAAGGAAUUGACGGGGACCCGCACAAGCGGUGGAUGAUGUGGAUUAAUUCGAUGCAACGCGAAAAACCUUACCUACCCUUGACAUGUCUGGAAUGCCGAAGAGAUUUGGCAGUGCUCGCAAGAGAACCGGAACACAGGUGCUGCAUGGCUGUCGUCAGCUCGUGUCGUGAGAUGUUGGGUUAAGUCCCGCAACGAGCGCAACCCUUGUCAUUAGUUGCUACGAAAGGGCACUCUAAUGAGACUGCCGGUGACAAACCGGAGGAAGGUGGGGAUGACGUCAAGUCCUCAUGGCCCUUAUGGGUAGGGCUUCACACGUCAUACAAUGGUCGGGACAGAGGGUCGCCAACCCGCGAGGGGGAGCCAAUCCCAGAAACCCGAUCGUAGUCCGGAUCGCAGUCUGCAACUCGACUGCGUGAAGUCGGAAUCGCUAGUAAUCGCGGAUCAGCAUGUCGCGGUGAAUACGUUCCCGGGUCUUGUACACACCGCCCGUCACACCAUGGGAGUGGGUUU